rnacentral:rRNA from 1 species
GCACGAGAUUAGCCGGUGCUUUCUCUGAUGGUACCGUCAUCCCUCGUUCGUAUUAAGAACGAGUCUUUCUUCCCACCUAACAGGAGUUUACAAUCCGAAGACCUUCAUCCCCCACGCGGCGUCGCUGCGUCAGGCUUUCGCCCAUUGCGCAAUAUUCCUCA